ACAGCAGUAGCCGCGGUAAUACGGAGGAUCCAAGCGUUAUCCGGAAUCAUUGGGUUUAAAGGGUCCGUAGGCGGUCUUGUAAGUCAGUGGUGAAAGCCCAUCGCUCAACGGUGGAACGGCCAUUGAUACUGCAGGACUUGAAUUAUUGGGAAGUAACUAGAAUAUGUAGUGUAGCGGUGAAAUGCUUAGAGAUUACAUGGAAUACCAAUUGCGAAGGCAGGUUACUACCAAUUGAUUGACGCUGAUGGACGAAAGCGUGGGUAGCGAACAGGAUUAGAUACCCGUGUAGUCCCUGUCUCUUAUAC
rnacentral:rRNA from 1 species